rnacentral:lncRNA from 1 species
AAGGAUUUGGAUAUAGUCCACCUGCCCAGGUUCUUCCGAGAUUCACAGAUCUUGCCUGACGAAAUCCUCCUGGCCCUGCAUGGGUUCGGAGGAUUUCGUCAGGCAAGAUCUGUGAAUCUCGGAAGAACCUGGGCAGGUGGACUAUAUCCAAAUCCUUUCCAAAAUCCCUAAAUGCAGAUGUCCUUGCCUUACUAAGUAGCAGGGAGAGAAGCUCCACCCAUGGGGUAAAUGCCCGCACUGGCUGUGCUGAGAACAGCCAGCGCAGAGGUUGUGGACAGGAGCCUAGUGCAUGACCAAUGACAGCUACGGCUCCAUCCUGGCAGCGAGUAACAGCGCCCUCUAGGGGGAUACCCGGUGUCCACCUGGACAAACUUGCUGUUGAGCACAGUGAUAGUAUUUCUCGCCAGGCAGCGUCCAUCUCUGGGGUCCACUCUCUCCUUUCCCGUGGGUCUGAGCCCUUCAGCUGGUCAUAAAAGGGCUUCAUUAAUCGUGGUGGAAUACCCAGCGCUCCCCGGACCCACUGGAUAGCUCCUACCAAUUUCUGAACAUCCCACAGGUUGGUUACCUGAGGUUUAAUCUCCAGGCCCUCGGGGAUAACCGUGGAUGAUCCAAACUUAUAUCCCAGGAAUUCUAUCCCUGGCCCUCGUUGUACCUUUUCUUGGGAGAUCGUGAAACCUGCACCCGUGAGCGCGCCUGACACCCGUGCUUCUAGGGCUUGUAGUUGGGAACCUGUCGGAGCUGCAAGCAGAAGAUCAUCCAUGUAAUGGACAAUCUGGCAGUCUGGCAUGUCGCGUCUCACUGGCGCGAUAAUUGUAUUCACCACAAGCUGACAAAUAGUAGGUGAACAGGCCAUUCCCUGAGGGAGAACCUUCCAUUGAAACCUUUGAGCUGGGCCCUGGUUAUUCCGUACAGGGACUGUGAAUGCAAAAGCCUCCCGGUCCUGUUCUGCCAAAGGGAUGGAGAAAAAGCAAUCCUUAAGGUCAAUGACCACAAGGGGCCAUCCCCUGGGAACAGCUGCAAGUGAUGGACUGCCUUGCUGAACGGGACCGAACUGGACGAGCUGUGCAUUAACAGCCCGAAGAUCAUGCAAUAAACGGAAGGACCCCGAUGGUUUCCAGAUAACAAAGAUGGGCGUGUUCCACCUACUAAGUGACGGUUCAAUGUGUCCCGCCUCCAGUUCCCUGGAGACCAGCUGCGUCAGCGCUGCUAAUUUAUCAGUUGGAAGGGGCCACUGAUCCACCCAAACGGGAGACGCUUCCCGUUUCCAGCGUAAUGGGAUGGCAAAAUGCAGCGCAAGGUGGUACACAGUGGCCCUUAGUAUAAAUUUGUGAGUCGAACUCCCAAGGACGUGAGAAAAUCACGCCCUAAGAUUGAUCCUUCCACCGGUGCCACGAGGGGUUGCACCAACACCGGUGCCUCCAUCAUCCCACUCCUAUCAAUGAUAGCGAUCUCCACUUCCUCUGCAGCCCCUUUUGUUGGGACUGUGCCUCCCACUCCCCCAAUAUGCUGCCAAUGCGAGGUGAGUGGCCAGUUCGUCGGCCAAUCGGCCUCCGCAAUCACUGUAACGUCCGCACCAGAAUCUAGCAAAGCCGUAAAAAGCGUGGUUCGAGGUCCCUCUUUUUGGGGCCACGGACCCGCAUAUGACAUUACCACCUUAACUAGUGGACGGUCCCCCAAUCCCAUGGCUAAUGCCACGGUGGGCAUGUUCUCCUUGGCCCAUUGCUCUGAUUUGGGAAGGUGCCCUGGGCCCGAGGCGCCCUCCCUUGGCCGUUUCCCUGCAUCGCUUCCUUGAUCUUCCUGCAGUUACGCGCCGUGUGGCUCGCCCCACCACACCACUGGCAUUUUUUGUCUGUGUCUGUUUUUGAGCCACCUUUAUUCGGACAGUUGGUCCUAAAGUGUCCGGGUUGUCCGCACUUAUAACAGACACCUUUCCCUCCCCCGUCCUUGGGGCGUGCAGCUGCCUGUACUGCGAGCUGGAGGGCUGCGGCUAAGCCCUCAUUUGUUAACGGAGUAGCGCGCUGAUGGUCAAGCACAUAUUUGAUAAGUUCCCCUGGGGUUGUUAAGUUGCCUGGGGCUGCCCUAAUAAUUUGCUGUAUGUCCGAGAGCGAUUUUUGCUUAAGGCAAUCAAUGAUAACAGGACCUUGGGCCGGCUCCGGAAG